CAAAGCUAGUAACACACAAGGGUCAUACCCUGGGGCACGUGGUUAGGCCCCUCCCCUCCCCCAAGCAGCAUGGCCAGAUGAAAAUGACAAAGUGUCCCACCAACCCUGAAAAGGCGACAGUCCUUUUGUUAGUGUAAAGGUCACGGUACAUAUAAAUUCUGUAAGAGUUUACACUGGGCAGAGAUAAUAGAAGAGUUGGGGAAGAGACUCAGGAUUGGGAAAAGGAUUGGAGAAGCUGUCUGAAGCAAUUUGUUGGCAGCAGGAUUCAUGAUCAGCCUUAGGGGAACUGCAAACCUGGAACUGUCUUGAGAAAGAAGGUGGCAUAGUCGACAGGGAGGAACUGCGAUUGUUGCCCAGCUCUCGGAGCCUGGCAGGAUGUUCCUGUACUGUCUGUGAGGACAGAGGGAUUUAAGAAGUGUCCCUUCCACUGCCCAUGUUCUGGAAGAAAUCCACUGCAUGGAUUUGUCAGCUGGGCUCCUCCAGCCAGCCUUGACCUUCCUGGCACCAGAUAAAGAAGGACCGUCCAUAGCUGACCUUGCUAAAGGGACGGGAUUUAAAACCUGAAGAAUCCAGUUUGAGCUCAUACUCUAUGAAUGUGAUGAGAAAAAUGUCAAAUCUGUAAGUUUAGG